rnacentral:pre_miRNA from 9 species
UCUCGAUAGCGUUAAAGUUAACUCAAAUUUGUAUGGAGUUGGAACGUUUGCCUACGUUUGCCGCUAGGGGCGCUGUUCCAACUGCAUACAAGUUUAAGUAAACUUUUACGAUAUCGA